CAAAAAUAAAUAAACCAAAGGAAAAAACAAACAACAGCCCCCUCUCCCCAACACACACACACCAAACCAAAACAGAGCUCGGAACAGGCUAGGGAGAUGUUCUUUUUUCCAUAAUCCAGGCCUGGAGCCCACAUCUGACUGCUUGGCUGGCAGCUUCUCCAGACACAGGUUGACGUUGUCCCGUGAGGGACACCUGUACACUCGGAACAAUUAGCACAGUUCACACAGGCUCCUCUGUCCAUGGAAUUCUCCAGGCAAGAACACUGGAGUGGGUUGCUAUUCCCUUUUCCAGGGGCUCUUCCCAACCCAGGGAUCAAACCCAGAUCCCCCACAUUGCAGGCAGACUCUUUACCGACUGAGCCACCAGGGAAGCCAUUUACACUGGAUAUCAUCAUCCUAAUCACCAAGAGUAAGGCAUCGAUAACGGUAGAUUCUUAACCACUGGACCACCAAGGAAGUCCUGAAAGUGAUUCUUGACUCACAGAAAGAACUCAGGAAAGAACGGCCACACUGUCUUUGCCUAAGAUGCCCAGACGACUGUAGGAAGAACCCCCUAUGGAAUGAAAAACAACUCCACCAUCACCAAGAACCCAUCAAAUGUUGACUAAAUAAAUGAUUUUCUUCUUUUACUAUGCAUGGUGUUCACCUGGGGUAAUUAUAGAAACACACAAUUGUCCAAACUCUGCCCCAGGUGUUCUGAUUCAAGGAGCCCAAGCUUAAGUAUGUGUAAAAAGUGUUUCGGGUGAUUCUAAUGAGUGGGCAGGUCUAGACUUCUUGGGCAGGCUCUAUGUUUUCCCAAGAAGAUCCAGAAUUAGUUUAGAAGAAUCUAAAAAGUAGAUUUGUUGUUUAGUGGUCUCCACUGAAACUAGAACUAUGUGAUUGUGCUGUAACUAAAUAAUUCUUUUAUCAUUAAUGCUGUGUGAAACUCUGGACCUCAGUCUCCUCAACUGUAUGAUAGAGGCUUCGAUUAUGUAUUUUCAAAGGUCUCUCCCAGUUUUGAUUUUCUAACAUAUUAUGACCCUGAAUUUGUUUAUCACUCAAAUUCCUGAAGAGGAUUACAGCUGGAGGAAUUGUGUAGGAAUUUGAAAAAGGCUGAAUAAAUAAAUAAAUAAUAAAUAACAGCACUCGGUAGAUCCAAAUCUUAAAGCUAACUCCCUGAAGAGGCUGGAUAAGAAUGCAGACUUAAUGGAGCUCCGUCUCUCGUGACCUUGGACAGAUUACCCAACUGCCUCAAUUUUCUUACCUGUAAAAUGGAGUCAGUAAUAGUACUGGCAUCACGAAAUUUUUCAGAUUAAAAGAGUUAAUCCAUGUGAAGUACUUUGAACACUGCUUGGCUACAAGUGCUCAAUAAAUAUUACCUGUUAUUAUUGUGAUUUCAAGGCUCCUUCCUUUUACUUCAGUUCAUUUAACUACAACCAAAAACACCUCUCUACCUUCAGGUUCUACUAUCCCAUUAGCUGAAUGAAAUUUGUAUCAAGGAGAAGAGCAAGCUCAACUAGUGUUGUGAAGGCAAGUCUGUUGCUGGAAUCCUGUGAGAAAAUCUUAAAGAGGGCAAAAUCUAGAUGUGUGAAUUUUCAUGCCCCCACAUGGGACUGCCAUAAGCUGUUUGCUCAAGAAAGAGAACAGUGUGGACUUCCCUGGUGGUCCAGUGGCUAAGACGCC
ensembl:lncRNA